AUUGAACGCUGGCGGCAUGCUUUACACAUGCAAGUCGAACGGUAACAGGCCGCAAGGUGCUGACGAGUGGCGAACGGGUGAGUAAUGCAUCGGAACGUGCCCAGUCGUGGGGGAUAACGCGGCGAAAGCUGCGCUAAUACCGCAUACGAUCUAUGGAUGAAAGCGGGGGACCGUAAGGCCUCGCGCGAUUGGAGCGGCCGAUGGCAGAUUAGGUAGUUGGUGGGGUAAAGGCUCACCAAGCCGACGAUCUGUAGCUGGUCUGAGAGGACGACCCGCCACACUGGGACUGAGACACGGCCCAGACUCCUACGGGAGGCAGCAGUGGGGAAUUUUGGACAAUGGGCGCAAGCCUGAUCCAGCAAUGCCGCGUGCAGGAAGAAGGCCUUCGGGUUGUAAACUGCUUUUGUACGGAACGAAACGGUCUGGAUUAAUACCCUGGGCUAAUGACGGUACCGUAAGAAUAAGCACCGGCUAACUACGUGCCAGCCGCCGCCGUAAAAC
rnacentral:rRNA from 1 species